CAACACUGGGACUGAGACACUGCCCAGACUCCUACGGGAGGCUGCAGUCGAGAAUCUUUCGCAAUGGGCGCAAGCCUGACGAAGCGACGCCGUGUGAGCGAAGAAGGCCUUCGGGUUGUAAAGCUCUUUCGCUAGGGAACAAGAAAGGUGGGAUAAUACCCGGCCGAUUUGAUGGUACUUGGAAAAGAAGCACCGGCUAACUCC
rnacentral:rRNA from 1 species